CUUCUGUCCUCCCCGCACAGGAGGGCGGAUCGAGGUCCGCGGCGCUCUCUGCCCUGACAGCGCCGGGGCCUUGCAGCUCCGGGCUGCGGUGCCGGACGGGUUGAGGGUCCCGUACCGGCGC
rnacentral:ncRNA from 1 species